CGUGUAGGCGGCUCCUUAAGUCUGAUGUGAAAGCCCUGGGCUCAACCCGGGAAGUGCAUUGGAAACUGGGGAACUUGAAUACGGGAGAGGGUAGUGGAAUUCCUGGUGUAGGAGUGAAAUCCGUAGAUAUCAGGAGGAACACCGGUGGCGAAGGCGGCUGCCUGGACCGAUAUUGACGCUGAGACGCGAAAGCGUGGGGAGCAAACAGGAUUAGAUACCCUGGUAGUCCACGCCGUAAACGAUGAGCACUAGGUGUUGCGGGUAUUGACCCCUGCAGUGCCGCAGCUAACGCAUUAAGUACUCCGCCUGGGAAGUACGGUCGCAAGACUAAA
rnacentral:rRNA from 1 species